rnacentral:rRNA from 1 species
GAUGAACGCUGGCGGCGUGCCUAAUACAUGCAAGUCGAGCGAACAGACGAGGAGCUUGCUCCUCUGACGUUAGCGGCGGACGGGUGAGUAACACGUGGAUAACCUACCUAUAAGACUGGGAUAACUUCGGGAAACCGGAGCUAAUACCGGAUAAUAUAUUGAACCGCAUGGUUCAAUAGUGAAAGACGGUUUUGCUGUCACUUAUAGAUGGAUCCGCGCCGCAUUAGCUAGUUGGUAAGGUAACGGCUUACCAAGGCAACGAUGCGUAGCCGACCUGAGAGGGUGAUCGGCCACACUGGAACUGAGACACGGUCCAGACUCCUACGGGAGGCAGCAGUAGGGAAUCUUCCGCAAUGGGCGAAAGCCUGACGGAGCAACGCCGCGUGAGUGAUGAAGGUCUUCGGAUCGUAAAACUCUGUUAUUAGGGAAGAACAAAUGUGUAAGUAACUAUGCACGUCUUGACGGUACCUUAUCAGAAAGCCACGGCUAACUACGUG